ACAAAUCCAUGAUGAAUUGUGUUUGUGUGGGUGUCAUUUGUGAGGGUGUAUUCAUUUGUUUGGAGUGAGAAGUGUCACAGCUUCUCUUUCUCUUUCAUCUGAUGCAUACUCGAUGGAUGCAUUCACAUGGAUGCAAUCACAUUAGUUCCAUGUACAAUUCAUCGUUGUGCAUGAUUACAUUUCUACGAAUCAUCUGAUUGUGUGACUAUAUAAUUGCAAAGAA
rnacentral:misc_RNA from 1 species